GGGGGAAGCUGUGGCCAGUCAAUAUUGAGCAGAACCAGAAGAUCCUACUGGCAGAAGAGUCCCUAGACCUUCCAAAGACCAGGUUUCUGUCCUCUGAUUGAAAAUGUGAGUGGACAACUGUGCUCAGUGUGCAUCAGACUGAGGAGUGUGUCCUAACCUAAAAAGCUGUUUUAACCCAAAACUCAUAACCACAAAUCCAACACUUAGUGAUAUUACUGGGCUCGACUGCAUUCAUUAGACACAAGUAAGACAGUACCCAGAAUAUAAAAACUCUCCAUCAGGUUUGUAGAAUGAAUGAAUGAGCGAAUGAAUAAAUGAGUGAACAAGCCAACAAAUGGAGAGCAUGGAUAAAAUUCAUCUACUCAGAAAAGGACGGCACACUAUGAUUCUGUUGAUAUGAGAGGUCCUGCAUAGGCCAAUAUAGAGACACAAAGUAUAUUAGAGGUGAUUGGGGCUGGGGUGGGGAUGGGGAUUGACUGUUCUUACAAGAUUUCUUUGGGGAGUGAUGAAAAUGGUGUGAUAUUAGAUCAUGGUGAUGGUUGCAUAACUCUAAAUACGCUAAAAUCAUUGAAUUGUCUAUUUCAUAUGGGUGAAUUUUAUGGUAUAUCUCAAUAAAGCAGUUUUUAAAAAGUUUUCAGAAACUUCCAAAGACCA
rnacentral:antisense_RNA from 1 species